UCUGAGAUGUUGUUAUAUUUUCGUUGUGUUGCGACACUGAAAGUAGUUCCGUUAUCGUUUUUUGGUUGCCGCCGCGAGGGAGUGCCCUAGCUCUUGAGCUUGGCAUCUACGCGAAGCCGCGACUGCGAAAUCCAUUUGUUUUUCUCUUGAGUUUCGAUUUUUAAGCUUCGUCGCAAGGAGAAAGCAAUGGAUGAGGGAAAACAUAGAUCAAGGAAAGAAGAUUAUGAGGUGAAAGAUGGGGAUUCUAAGAGGAGUCAUCGGGAUCGUGACCGUGAUAGAACUAAGGAUAAAAACGAUGGGAGGCACAGGGAUAGGGAGAAGAAGGAUCGAGACUCCCGGAGACAUGAGAGAGAGAGGAGUACCGAUUCUGAAGACAGGCAUGAUAGGGACAGGGAGAAGCGCAGAGAUAAAGAUAAGGAUAGGGCACAUGUUCAGGAUGUGGACAGAGAAAGAGUUCGAGACAAGAAAAGGGAAAGGGAUAGGGAAGACAGGGAAAGGGAGAGGACAGAUAGAGUAAGGGAGAAAGAAAGAGAGAAGGAAAGAAAAGAGGAGAAGGAGAGGAUCAGAGAGAGAGAACGAGAAAGGGAAAGGGAAAGGGAAAAGAGGGAUCAUGAGAGAGAGAAGGAAAAGGAAAGAGAAAGGGGGAGGAGAACACGUGAGAGGGAGAAGCGCAGGGAAGUUGACAGUGAUUACAGUGAUGGUGAAUCCAGGGAGAGAGAUAGAAAGCGGCAUAGGAAGGAGGAUGGUGAUUACAAGAAGAGAGAGAGGGAAAGGAGUGUUGGCAAGCAAAAUAGGCAAACUGAGGAACGUGAAGGAAGCCCGAGAAAAAAGAGUGGCGGAGAUGAUUCAGAUACAAAAGAUGAAGAGAGAAAACCUACCCGUGAAGAGGAGAUGGAGGAUGAACAAAAGAGGUUGGAUGAAGAAAUGGAAAAGAGAAGGAGGAGAGUUCAAGAGUGGCAAGAGCUAAGGAGGAAGAAGGAAGAAGCAGAAAGAGAAAAGCAUGGUGAAGCAAGUGCUAAUGAACCUGAGUCUGGAAAGACCUGGACUCUUGAAGGGGAAUCUGAUGACGAAGAAGGUCCAGGUAAUGGGAAGCAUGAUACAAGUAUGGAUGUAGAUGAAGAUGACAAGCCUGCUGAUAAGGGACCUAAGGAUGCAAUGGUGGUAGACACUGAUAAUGGGACAGUUGCAUCUGAUUUACAGGAUGGAUCUGCUGGUGCUCCUGCAGAUGAGGAAAUAGAUCCAUUGGACGCUUUCAUGAAUUCUAUGGUUCUACCUGAAGUUGAGAAGCUAAACAAUGCUGUGACAUCGUCACUUUCUGAUAAAGCUGUUGACAUAAAAUCCAAAGAUAAGGGGAAUGAGCAAAGUCGUGGUGCACAGUCAAGGAAAGGUUCGAAUAAGUCUAUUGGCAGAAUAAUUCCUGGUGAAGAGUCUGAGUCUGAUUAUGCAGAUGAUGAAGUUGAGAGGGAUCCAUUGGAUGAAGAUGAUGAUGAAUUCAUGAAAAGAGUGAAGAAGACAAAAGCUGAGAAGCUUUCUUUAGUUGACCACUCAAAGAUUGACUAUGAACCAUUCAAGAAAAACUUUUAUAUUGAAGUGAAGGAGAUCUCUAAGAUAACUUCUGAAGAAGCUGCAGUAUACAGGAAGCAGUUGGAGUUGAAGAUACAUGGAAAGGAUGUGCCAAAGCCUAUAAAAUCGUGGCACCAGACUGGACUUGGUAGCAAAAUUUUGGAGACAAUAAAGAAGAUGAACUUUGAAAAGCCGAUGCCUAUUCAAGCUCAAGCACUCCCUGUAAUCAUGAGUGGUCGAGAUUGCAUAGGGAUUGCUAAGACUGGGUCAGGCAAAACACUUGCUUUUGUUCUGCCAAUGCUGAGGCAUAUCAAGGAUCAGCCACCAGUUGUUGCCGGAGAUGGACCUAUUGGGCUUAUUAUGGCUCCUACAAGGGAGCUUGUUCAACAGAUUCACAGUGAUAUAAAAAAAUUUGCUAAGGUAAUGGGUAUCAGGUGCGUGCCUGUGUAUGGAGGCUCUGGUGUUGCUCAACAAAUUAGUGAGUUGAAACGCGGUGCUGAGAUAGUUGUUUGUACUCCAGGUAGGAUGAUUGACAUACUAUGCACCAGUAGUGGAAAAAUAACUAACUUGCGUAGAGUCACUUAUCUUGUCAUGGAUGAGGCUGAUCGGAUGUUUGACAUGGGUUUUGAACCUCAAAUCACACGAAUUGUUCAGAACAUUCGUCCCGAUCGUCAAACGGUUUUGUUCUCUGCUACUUUCCCCCGUCAGGUUGAAAUUCUGGCUCGUAAGGUUUUGAAUAAACCUGUUGAAAUACAAGUUGGUGGGAGGAGUGUUGUGAACAAAGACAUAACCCAGCUAGUUGAGGUGAGGCCAGAUAAUGAAAGGUUCCUUAGACUCUUAGAAAUAUUGGGGGAAUGGUACGAGAAAGGAAAGAUUUUGAUAUUUGUACACUCACAGGAGAAAUGUGAUAGUUUGUUCAAGGAUUUGCUCAGGCAUGGUUAUCCAUGCCUUUCACUUCACGGGGCUAAGGACCAGACUGAUCGUGAAUCCACAAUAUCUGAUUUUAAGAGCAACGUUUGCAAUUUAUUGGUUGCAACAAGUGUUGCUGCCAGGGGAUUAGAUGUUAAGGAGCUUGAAUUGGUGAUCAAUUUUGAUGUUCCUAACCACUAUGAAGAUUAUGUACAUCGUGUUGGGCGCACCGGACGAGCCGGCCGAAAGGGUUGUGCCAUUACAUUUAUUUCUGAGGAAGAGGCAAGAUAUGCACCUGAUCUGCUGAAAGCCUUGGAACUGUCUGAGCAGAUUGUUCCCAAUGAUCUGAAAGCUCUUGCUGAUAGCUUUAUGGCAAAAGUGAACCAAGGACUGGAGCAAGCCCAUGGGACUGGUUAUGGAGGCAGUGGCUUUAAAUUUAAUGAAGAGGAAGAUGAGGUGAGAAGAGCAGCAAAGAAAGCACAAGCCAAGGAAUAUGGGUUUGAAGAAGACAAGUCAGAUUCUGAAGAUGAAGAUGAAGGUAUUAGGAAGGCUGGAGGUGAUAUCUCACAGCAUCCUGCUCUUGCUCAGAUUCUCGCUGCCACUAAAGUGAAUGCUCCUGCAUUGCCUACUCCCAUCUCCGCUGCUCAGUUGAUGACAAAUGGUGGACUACCUGUUUCUUUGCCAGCUGUUCUUGGUCUCCAGACUGCCACAGUCUUGCCUGGGACAGGGCUACCCCUUGCUGCAAAUGAUGGGGCCGCUCGAGCAGCAUUAGCUGCUAUAAACUUGCAGCACAACUUAGCAAAAAUACAAUCAGAAGCAUUACCAGAGCAUUAUGAGGCCGAGUUGGAAAUAAAUGAUUUCCCCCAGAAUGCUCGAUGGAAGGUUACACACAAGGAAACUUUAGGUCCUAUUUCUGAAUGGACUGGAGCUGCCAUUACCACCAGGGGGCAGUUUUUCCCACCUGGCAAAAUCCCAGGACCUGGGGAACGCAAACUCUACUUAUUCAUUGAAGGUCCUACUGAGCAGUCUGUUAAAAGAGCUAAAGCUGAAUUGAAGCGUGUAUUGGAAGACAUCACAAAUCAGGCUUUGCAACUUCCUGGUGGAACUCAACCUGGCAAAUACUCUGUCGUGUAAAGGUCAACGUGAAGGUGUAAUGGGACUCUUAAACACUCUUGUCUCGCGCCCCAAUCUGGGACAAAUUGCACAUAUUGUCUGCCUUUCUUACCCAUUCGUUGUCAUACAGGUGGGGGUCUUUUGAACGUAUGCAGCUAUGCUCGAUUGCUCAAUAUUUUUCUAUCCACCGCGCUUGCAUCGGGACUGUCUAAGGUGCUGAUCGUGGUGCGACUUUUAUUUCGUUUAGGUUCGGUUUGAUUUGAAGAAACCGUUUUUAUUAACUGACCCCAUGUACGAGUUGUAAAAUUUAUUAUGUUAUUAGUAUUAUGUGCUUAUUUAUCUGAUUAUACAUGUGUAUCUUUCAGGUUUUGAUUCGAUGUCCUUUUGUAUGGGAAACAAGAUUUGAUGGAGAGUAUUAAUGCAUUUGCCUUACUGGCACUGUUUAUAUAUUUAAGCCCAUGUACCAUAAUUGAAUAUCUGACAAGUUUACCAUAUAAUAGAUAUGCUUAACAUGGCAUUUAAAUCCGCGGUUUAGGCUCAUAUCAUAACAUUCAUAAAACCUUUUUGCAA